rnacentral:SRP_RNA from 1 species
GUCGAGCUCAGUAGCGAGAGCUUGUGACCUAUGUGGGGACAAUAAGAUGGUGGAACACUGGCCCGGGCCCACAGGUCGGAUCUGUUGUGGCAUGUUCUGGGCUGUGCCCGGUCCAAGCCGAGAGUGAUCCGUGUGUGCUGAGCGAAGGCUUGGCUCAGGCGGUUCCUAAAGAGGAGGGCAAUGCGUGAGGCUGGUUUCACAGAGCAGCGAUCACCUCCCUCUCUCGACAGUGGACGGAUAACAGCUCAAAGCCACUCAGAUCCAGCAUGGUCUGGUGGCUCGUACCCAGCUGAACCACCAUCUUU